CCUACGGGGGGCUGCAGUAGGGAAUAUUGGGCAAUGGACGAAAGUCUGACCCAGCCAUGCCGCGUGCAGGAUGACUGCCCUAUGGGUUGUAAACUGCUUUUCUAUGGGAAGAAACACUCAUACGUGUAUGAACUUGACGGUACCAUAGGAAUAAGGAUCGGCUAACUCCGUGCCAGCAGCCGCGGUAAUACGGAGGAUCCAAGCGUUAUCCGGAUUCAUGGGGUUGUAAGGGUACUACUAAGUCAGAGUUGAAAUCUUGCGGCUCAACCGUAAAAGUGCCUUUGAAACUGGUAGUCUUGAGUUCGGUCGAGGUGGAUGGAAUGUGUCAUGUAGCGGUGAAAUGCUUAGAUAUGACCCAGAACACCAAUGGCGAAGGCAGUUCACUAGACCGAUACUGACGCUGAGGCACGAAAGCGUGGGGAGCGAACAGGAUUAGAUACCCCAGUAGUC
rnacentral:rRNA from 1 species